rnacentral:rRNA from 1 species
UACAGAGGUCUCAAGCGUUGUUCGGAUUCAUUGGGCGUAAAGGGUGCGUAGGCGGCGCGGUAAGUCGGGUGUGAAAUCUCGGAGCUUAACUCCGAAACUGCAUUCGAUACUGCCGUGCUUGAGGACUGGAGAGGAGACUGGAAUUUACGGUGUAGCGGUGAAAUGCGUAGAUAAUCGUAAGGAAGACCAGUGGCGAAAGGCGGGUCUCUGGACAGUUCCUGACGCUGAGGCACGAAGGUCAGGGGAGCAAACGGG